rnacentral:tRNA from 1 species
GCAAUGGUGGUUCAGUGGAAUGAUUCUCGCCUUCCAUGUGGGAGACCGGGGUUCGAUUCCUGGCCAAUGCA